rnacentral:rRNA from 1 species
GACGAACGUUGGCGGCGUGCUUAAUACAUGCAAGUCCACUGAAGCAGUGGUAGCAAUAUCGCUGUGGAGGUGGCGCACGGGUGAGUAACACGUAGGUAAUCUGCCUUCAGGUCUGGCAUAACUCCGGGAAACCGGGGCUAAUAGCAGAUGAUGCAGCGGCUCGACAUCGAGACAGUUGUUAAAGCUAUGGCGCCUGAAGAUGAGCCUGCGUCUGAUUAGCUAGUUGGCGGGGUAACGGCCCACCAAGGCAACGAUCAGUAGCUGGUCUGAGAGGAUGAUCAGCCACACUGGAACUGAGACACGGUCCAGACUCCUACGGGAGGCAGCAGUAAGGAAGAUUGCUCAAUGGGAGAAAUCCUGAAGCAGCAACGCCGCGUGAGGGACGAAGGGCUUUUGCUUGUAAACCUCUGUAGUGAGAGAAAAAAAUCCCAAUCUUUGGGACAUGAUGGUAUCUCAAAAGUAAGCCCCGGCUAACUACGUG